rnacentral:rRNA from 1 species
UCGGGGAGAGUGGCGAACGGGUGAGUAACACGUAGGUAAUCUACCUCUGGAUGCGGGAUAGCCUUUAGAAAUAAGGGGUAAUACUGCAUAAAAUCUGAUUAUAAAUAUGGUUGGAUCAAAGGUGCAAUUGCACUGUCUGGAGAUGAGCCUGCGGUCCAUUAGCUUGUAGGUGGGGUAAAGGCCUACCUAGGCUGUGAUGGAUAGCCGGCCUGAGAGGGUGUACGGUCACACUGGGACUGAGACACGGCCCAGACUCCUACGGGAGGCAGCAGCUAAGAAUCUUCCGCAAUGGGCGCAAGCCUGACGGAGCGACGCCGCGUGAAUGAAGAAGGCCGAGAGGUUGUAAAGUUCUUUUCUUAGGGAAGAAUAAUUACAGGAGUGGAAAGCCUGUAUGAUGACGUUAACUAAGGAAUAAGUCCCGGCCAAUUACGUGCCAGCAGCCGCGGUAACACGUAAGGGGCGAGCGUUGUUCGGAAUUAUUGGGCGUAAAGGGCGUGUAGGCGGUUUUAUAAGCCUGGUGUAAAAGGUACUGGCUCAACCAGUAUUUUGCGCUGGGAACUGUAUGACUUGAGUUCAGGUGGGGAAGCUGGAAUUCCAGGUGUAGGGGUGAAAUGCGUAGAUAUCUGGAGGAACACCAACGGCGAAGGCAGCUCACUGGACAACUACUGACGCUGAGGGACGAAAGCGUGGGGAGCGAAAGGGAUUAGAUACCCCUGUAGUCCACGCUGUAAACGUUGUGCACUCGCUAUUGGCGGAUUCGACCCCGUCAGUGGCCAAGCUAACGCGAUAAGUGCACCGCCUGAGGACUACGGCCGCAAGGCUAAAACUCAAAGGAAUUGACGGGUCCCCGCACAAGCGGUGGAGCAUGUGGCUUAAUUCGAUGCAACGCGAAGAACCUUACCAGGCCUUGACAUGUAGCGGACCGGGGCAGAGAUGCCCCUUCUCUUCGGAGCCGCUUCACAGGUGCUGCAUGGCUGUCGUCAGCUCGUGUCGUGAGAUGUUCGGUUAAGUCCGUCAGCGAGCGCAACCCCUGUCCUUAGUUGCCAUCAUUCAGUUGGGGACUCUAAGGAGACAAUCCCGCAUUUGCGGGAGGGAAGGUGGGGAUGAUGUCAAGUCAGUAUGGCCCUUACGGCCUGGGCUGCACACGUGCUACAAUGCCCGGUACAGUAGGCAGCUACCUCGCGAGAGGAUGCUAAUCCCUAAAGCCGGGCUCAGUUCGGAUUGGAGUCUGCAACUCGACUCCAUGAAGUCGGAAUCGCUAGUAAUGGCGCAUCAGCAAUGGCGCCGUGAUACGUUCCCGGGGAUUGUACACACCGCCCGUCACAUCAUGAAGCCGUUUUGCCCGAAGUACGUGCGCCAACCCUUGUGGAGGCAGCGUCCGACGGUGAGGCUGGUGAUUGGGAUGAAGUCGU